rnacentral:rRNA from 1 species
CACGUAGGGUGCGAGCGUUGUCCGGAAUUAUUGGGCGUAAGAGCUCGUAGGCGGUCUGUUGCGUGCCGCUGUGAAAACUCGGGGCUUAACCCCGAGCCUGCAGUGGAUACGGGCAGACUAGAGGUAGGUAGGGGAGAAUGGAAUUCCGGUGUAGCGGUGAAAUGCGCAGAUAUCGGAGAACACCGGUGCGAAGGCGGUUCUCUGGGCCGUUACCUGACGCUGAGGAGCGAAAGCGUGGGAGCGAACAGG